rnacentral:rRNA from 1 species
ACGGAAGGCAGCAGUAGGGAAUCUUCGGCAAUGGGGGCAACCCUGACCGAGCAACGCCGCGUGAGUGAAGAAGGUUUUCGGAUCGUAAAGCUCUGUUGUAAGAGAAGAACGUGUGUGAGAGUGGAAAGUUCACACAGUGACGGUAACUUACCAGAAAGGGACGGCUAACUACGUGCCAGCAGCCGCGGUAAUACGUAGGUCCCGAGCGUUGUCCGGAUUUAUUGGGCGUAAAGCGAGCGCAGGCGGUUUAAUAAGUCUGAAGUUAAAGGCAGUGGCUUAACCAUUGUUCGCUUUGGAAACUGUUAGACUUGAGUGCAGAAGGGGAGAGUGGAAUUCCAUGUGUAGCGGUGAAAUGCGUAGAUAUUUGGAGGAACACCGGUGGCGAAAGCGGCUCUCUGGUCUGUAACUGACGCUGAGGCUCGAAAGCGUGGGGAGGAAACAGGAUUAGAUACCCUGGUA